rnacentral:rRNA from 1 species
CGAAUGCUGACAUAAGUAACGAUAAAGCGGGUGAAAAGCCCGCUCGCCGGAAGACCAAGGGUUCCUGUCCAACGUUAAUCGGGGCAGGGUGAGUCGACCCCUAAGGCGAGGCCGAAAGGCGUAGUCGAUGGGAAACAGGUUAAUAUUCCUGUACUUGGUGUUACUGCGAAGGGGGGACGGAGAAGGCUAUGUUGGCCGGGCGACGGUUGUCCCGGUUUAAGCGUGUAGGCUGGUUUUCCAGGCAAAUCCGGAAAAUCAAGGCUGAGGCGUGAUGACGAGGCACUACGGUGCUGAAGCAACAAAUGCCCUGCUUCCAGGAAAAGCCUCUAAGCAUCAGGUAACAUCAAAUCGUACCCCAAACCGACACAGGUGGUCAGGUAGAGAAUACCAAGGCGCUUGAGAGAACUCGGGUGAAGGAACUAGGCAAAAUGGUGCCGUAACUUCGGGAGAAGGCACGCUGAUAUGUAGGUGAAGCGACUUGCUCGUGGAGCUGAAAUCAGUCGAAGAUACCAGCUGGCUGCAACUGUUUAUUAAAAACACAGCACUGUGCAAACACGAAAGUGGACGUAUACGGUGUGACGCCUGCCCGGUGCCGGAAGGUUAAUUGAUGGGGUCAGCGCAAGCGAAGCUCUUGAUCGAAGCCCCGGUAAACGGCGGCCGUAACUAUAACGGUCCUAAGGUAGCGAAAUUCCUUGUCGGGUAAGUUCCGACCUGCACGAAUGGCGUAAUGAUGGCCAGGCUGUCUCCACCCGAGACUCAGUGAAAUUGAACUCGCUGUGAAGAUGCAGUGUACCCGCGGCAAGACGGAAAGACCCCGUGAACCUUUACUAUAGCUUGACACUGAACAUUGAGCCUUGAUGUGUAGGAUAGGUGGGAGGCUUUGAAGUGUGGACGCCAGUCUGCAUGGAGCCGACCUUGAAAUACCACCCUUUAAUGUUUGAUGUUCUAACGUGGACCCGUGAUCCGGGUUGCGGACAGUGUCUGGUGGGUAGUUUGACUGGGGCGGUCUCCUCCUAAAGAGUAACGGAGGAGCACGAAGGUUGGCUAAUCCUGGUCGGACAUCAGGAGGUUAGUGCAAUGGCAUAAGCCAGCUUGACUGCGAGCGUGACGGCGCGAGCAGGUGCGAAAGCAGGUCAUAGUGAUCCGGUGGUUCUGAAUGGAAGGGCCAUCGCUCAACGGAUAAAAGGUACUCCGGGGAUAACAGGCUGAUACCGCCCAAGAGUUCAUAUCGACGGCGGUGUUUGGCACCUCGAUGUCGGCUCAUCACAUCCUGGGGCUGAAGUAGGUCCCAAGGGUAUGGCUGUUCGCCAUUUAAAGUGGUACGCGAGCUGGGUUUAGAACGUCGUGAGACAGUUCGGUCCCUAUCUGCCGUGGGCGCUGGAGAACUGAGGGGGGCUGCUCCUAGUACGAGAGGACCGGAGUGGACGCAUCACUGGUGUUCGGGUUGUCAUGCCAAUGGCACUGCCCGGUAGCUAAAUGCGGAAGAGAUAAGUGCUGAAAGCAUCUAAGCACGAAACUUGCCCCGAGAUGAGUUCUCCCUGACUCCUUGAGAGUCCUGAAGGAACGUUGAAGACGACGACGUUGAUAGGCCGGGUGUGUAAG